CUGAUUUGCACUGGCUGAAAUAAGUGGGCCCAAUUAUAUCAUGCAUGAUCUCUACCAGAAUUCUGAUGUUAAUUGGUUAUUAUAAAUUUAUUAAGUUACUUAAUCGUGUUUAUUAGAACUUGUAUUUACUCGACCCAUCAGUGUUACUAUACAGGGUGUAUAAAAAAAAACUGAACAGAUUUGAAAAUGCUCUCAAUUUCGCAAAACACCUAUUUGUAUCUGGU